UACGUAGGGCGCAAGCGUUAUCCGGAAUUACUGGGCGUAAAGCGCACGUAGGCGGCUCUUUAAGUCGGGGGUGAAAUCCUGGAGCUCAACUCCAGAACUGCCUUCGAUACUGAAGAGCUUGAGUCCGGGAGAGGUGAGUGGAACUGCGAGUGUAGAGGUGAAAUUCGUAGAUAUUCGCAAGAACACCAGUGGCGAAGGCGGCUCACUGGCCCGGUACUGACGCUGAGGUGCGAAAGCGUGGGGAGCAAACAGG
rnacentral:rRNA from 1 species